GGAGGCUUUAGCUUAAUUAAAGUGUUUGAGUUGCAUUCAUAAGAUGUACAUUAAAAUUGUGCAGGUCUUC
rnacentral:tRNA from 1 species